rnacentral:rRNA from 1 species
ACGCUUGAAGUCAGUCAUGCCCUUGGGGAUUCAGUCUUGCUUCUGCUCGGUUUACUUCCCUUUGGGUGGGUCAACAUCAGUUUAGGUCGGAGGAGAAAGACUUGGGGAAGGUGGCAGCAUUCGUGCUGUGUUAUAGCCCCUUGUUGUAUACUUCGACUAGGACUGAGGACCGCAGCACGCCUUUGGCCGGGGCUCGCCCACGUACGUGCUUAGGAUGUUGGCAUAAUGGCUUUAAGCGACCCGUCUUGAAACACGGACCAAGGAGUC